UGGCUCGGCGGCGUGAUCUUCAAGCGCUGAGGCGCUCUAACCGCCUACAAGCCGCUUCGAGCUGACCGUGUAGAGCCGGUCCCGUCCCAUC
rnacentral:tRNA from 1 species